AGAGUUUGAUCCUGGCUCAGAUUGAACGCUGGCGGCAGGCUUAACACAUGCAAGUCGAGCGGCAGCACAGGGGAGCUUGCUCCCUGGGUGACGAGCGGCGGACGGGUGAGUAAUGUCUGGGAAACUGCCUGAUGGAGGGGGAUAACUACUGGAAACGGUAGCUAAUACCGCAUAACGUCGCAAGACCAAAGAGGGGGACCUUCGGGCCUCUUGCCAUCAGAUGUGCCCAGAUGGGAUUAGCUAGUAGGUGGGGUAAUGGCUCACCUAGGCGACGAUCCCCAGCUGGUCUGAGAGGAUGACCAGCCACACUGGAACUGAGACACGGUCCAGACUCCUACGGAGGCAGCAGUGGGGAAUAUUGCACAAUGGGCGCAAGCCUGAUGCAGCCAUGCCGCGUGUGUGAAGAAGGCCUUCGGGUUGUAAAGCACUUUCAGCGAGGAGGAAGGUGGUGAGCUUAAUACGCUCAUCAAUUGACGUUACUCGCAGAAGAAGCACCGGCUAACUCCGUGCCAGCAGCCGCGGUAAUACGGAGGGUGCAAGCGUUAAUCGGAAUUACUGGGCGUAAAGCGCACGCAGGCGGUUUGUUAAGUCAGAUGUGAAAUCCCCGGGCUCAACCUGGGAACUGCAUUUGAAACUGGCAAGCUAGAGUCUCGUAGAGGGGGGUAGAAUUCCAGGUGUAGCGGUGAAAUGCGUAGAGAUCUGGAGGAAUACCGGUGGCGAAGGCGGCCCCCUGGACGAAGACUGACGCUCAGGUGCGAAAGCGUGGGGAGCAAACAGGAUUAGGUACCCUGGUAGUCCACGCUGUAAACGAUGUCGAUUUGGAGGUUGUGCCCUUGAGGCGUGGCUUCCGGAGCUAACGCGUUAAAUCGACCGCCUGGGGAGUACGGCCGCAAGGUUAAAACUCAAAUGAAUUGACGGGGGCCCGCACAAGCGGUGGAGCAUGUGGUUUAAUUCGAUGCAACGCGAAGAACCUUACCUACUCUUGACAUCCAGAGAACUUUCCAGAGAUGGAUUGGUGCCUUCGGGAACUCUGAGACAGGUGCUGCAUGGCUGUCGUCAGCUCGUGUUGUGAAAUGUUGGGUUAAGUCCCGCAACGAGCGCAACCCUUAUCCUUUGUUGCCAGCGGUUCGGCCGGGAACUCAAAGGAGACUGCCAGUGAUAAACUGGAGGAAGGUGGGGAUGACGUCAAGUCAUCAUGGCCCUUACGAGUAGGGCUACACACGUGCUACAAUGGCGUAUACAAAGAGAAGCGACCUCGCGAGAGCAAGCGGACCUCAUAAAGUACGUCGUAGUCAGGAUUGGAGUCUGCAACUCGACUCCAUGAAGUCGGAAUCGCUAGUAAUCGUAGAUCAGAAUGCUACGGUGAAUACGUUCCCGGGCCUUGUACACACCGCCCGUCACACCAUGGGAGUGGGUUGCAAAAGAAGUAGGUAGCUUAACCUUCGGGAGGGCGCUUACCACUUUGUGAUUCAUGACUGGGGUGAAGUCGUAACAAGGUAACC
rnacentral:rRNA from 1 species